GACGAACGCUGGCGGCGUGCUUAACACAUGCAAGUCGAACGGUAAGGCCCUUCGGGGGACACGAGUGGCGAACGGGUGAGUAACACGUGGGUGAUCUGCCCUGCAUUUCGGGAUAAGCCUGGGAAACUGGGUCUAAUACCGGAUAGGACUCCUGGCUUCAUGGUUUGGGGUGGAAAGCUUUUGUGGUGUGGGAUGGGCCCGCGGCCUAUCAGCUUGUUGGUGGGGUAAUGGCCUACCAAGGCGACGACGGGUAGCCGGCCUGAGAGGGUGACCGGUCACACUGGGACUGAGAUACGGCCCAGACUCCUACGGGAGGCAGCAGUGGGGAAUAUUGCACAAUGGGCGCAAGCCUGAUGCAGCGACGCCGCGUGAGGGAUGACGGCCUUCGGGUUGUAAACCUCUUUCAGCUAUGACGAAGCGCAAGUGACGGUAGUAGCAGAAGAAGGACCGGCCAACUACGCGCCAGCAGCCGCCGCCG
rnacentral:rRNA from 1 species